rnacentral:rRNA from 1 species
GAUGAACGCUGGCGGCGUGCCUAAUACAUGCAAGUCGAGCGAAUGGAUUAAGAGCUUGCUCUUAUGAAGUUAGCGGCGGACGGGUGAGUAACACAUGGGUAACCUGCCCAUAAGACUGGGAUAACUCCGGGAAACCGGGGCUAAUACCGGAUAACAUUUUGAACCGCAUGGUUCGAAAUUGAAAGGCGGCUUCGGCUGUCACUUAUGGAUGGACCCGCGUCGCAUUAGCUAGUUGGUGAGGUAACGGCUCACCAAGGCAACGAUGCGUAGCCGACGUGGGAGGGUGAUCGGCCACACUGGGACUGAGACACGGCCCAGACUCCUACGGGAGGCAGCAGUAGGGAAUCUUCCGCAAUGGACGAAAGUCUGACGGAGCAACGCCGCGUGAGUGAUGAAGGCUUUCGGGUCGUAAAACUCUGUUGUUAGGGAAGAACAAGUGCUAGUUGAAUAAGCUGGCACCUUGACGGUACCUAACCAGAAAGCCACGGCUAACUACGUGCCAGCCGCCGCAGUAA